CUUUCAGUCUCUACAUGCAUAAUCAUGAGAACCAGAGUUACUUCCCCAGUGGACUGACAUGUGCAUCCAGAGCUCAGGAAUGACAUCUCCCCAUUUUGGGGCAACCGAGUCAUACCUCCACCCUUCGUUUUCUCUCCUGUGCAGCGUCGGGGCCCAGAAAGGCACAGCGCUCUGGGGCCAGGCUCAGGACGGUUUGAUCAGAUGAACCCCACCACGGAGCAAACACUUCUGCUACAGGGGGCAGUGAUCUACUGCAAACGUUUUGCUGCUUUGCGGUGCUGGUGACCUCCUUGGCAGCGUGCACCCCCACCCUUCAGCCAUCGAGAUGGACACACGCGCAGAUGUGCAAAUCGCACCACCCCCAUGUGGGGCACGCUGGCCUCUGAAACAGUUUUGAGUCUUUAGUUUCUACCUCUGUGAGACCAAGCCUCCUGCUUUGGGUCAGACUUAGAAAUAAGCACUUGUGUAAGCAGAGACCUGGCAGUGGACAUUUUUCUUCCACGAAGGAUCCUGGCUUCAUCGCAAGCAGGGUUACUUGUCUUACACGGUCAAAAGCAAGUUGAUUUUACAAAGCUUUGUAUGCCUCCCAAUAGGUCACAGUACAAUUAAAUACAAUGACAAUAAAAAUAAAAAUUAAAUUAAAAUAACAGUAAAAAUAAAAGCACAAGACAAUUGUUCUCUACAUACACUGGGCCUAGGGUGUUUUCUCUUCACCACACCAUUUCUUCUUACUGGGCACCCAGGAAGACGACAUUCCUCAGCAUCGCCUGGCUUAGGGUGGGAUCAUGGGACCGAGUUCUUGCCAAUGGGGAUGCAAAUGGAAGGGACUGGUGGCUCUCAGGGCAAAGCGAUUAAGAACAGGUGUGAGGCACCCACGCUCUUGUUCCCUCCUUCAUGGCUGUUGGCAAAGAACUUGCAGAUGGCAGAGAGGCGAGGUGAGGGCAGUCAGAUUCCUUGAGUCACUGCUGAAGGAAAGCCACCUGAACUUCACUGGACUGUUUUCUCAUUGCUGUAUUUGACCCCUGAGAUGUGCGGGUUAGGUGUGACCUCAGCUUAGACUGUCCUAAUAUCAGAC